rnacentral:rRNA from 1 species
AGUGAACGCUGGCGGCGUGCUUAACACAUGCAAGUCGAACGAGAACGGAUUAUAGCUUGCUAUAAUUGUCAGCUAAGUGGCGCACGGGUGAGUAAUGUAUAGGUAAUAUGCCUCUUACUAAGGGAUAACAAAUGGAAACGUUUGCUAAUACCUUAUACUCCUUAUUAACAUAAGUUAAUAAGGGAAAGAUUUAUUGGUAAGAGAUUAGCCUGUAUUGUAUCAGUUAGUUGGUGGGGUAAUGGCUUACCAAGACUAUGACACAUAACUGGUUUGAGAGGAUGAUCAGUCACACUGGAACUGAGACACGGUCCAGACUCCUACGGGAGGCAGCAGUGGGGAAUAUUGCACAAUGGACGAAAGUCUGAUGCAGCAACGCCGCGUGGAGGAUGACACAUUUCGGUGCGUAAACUCCUUUUAUAUGAGAAGAUAAUGACGGUAUUAUAUGAAUAAGGAUCGGCUAACUCCGUGCCAGCCGCCGCCGUAA